AAAGUCGAGCGGUAGCACAGAGAGCUUGCUCUCGGGUGACGAGCGGCGGACGGGUGAGUAAUGUCUGGGAAACUGCCUGAUGGAGGGGGAUAACUACGGAAACGGUAGCUAAUACCGCAUAACGUCGCAAGACCAAAGUGGGGGACCUUCGGGCCUCAUGCCAUCAGAUGUGCCCAGAUGGGAUUAGCUAGUAGGUGGGGUAACGGCUCACCUAGGCGACGAUCCCUAGCUGGUCUGAGAGGAUGACCAGCCACACUGGAACUGAGACACGGUCCAGACUCCUACGGGAGGCAGCAGUGGGGAAUAUUGCACAAUGGGCGCAAGCCUGAUGCAGCCAUGCCGCGUGUGUGAAGAAGGCCUUCGGGUUGUAAAGCACUUUCAGCGGGGAGGAAGGCGGUGAGGUUAAUAACCUUGUCGAUGACGUUACCCGCAGAAGAAGCACCGGCUAACUCCGUGCCAGCAGCCGCGGUAAUACGGAGGGUGCAAGCGUUAAUCGGAAUUACUGGGCGUAAAGCGCACGCAGGCGGUCUGUCAAGUCGGAUGUGAAAUCCCCGGGCUCAACCUGGGAACUGCAUUCGAAACUGGCAGGCUAGAGUCUUGUAGAGGGGGGUAGAAUUCCAGGUGUAGCGGUGAAAUGCGUAGAGAUCUGAGGAAUACCGGUGGCGAAGGCGGCCCCCUGGACAAAGACUGACGCUCAGGUGCGAAAGCGUGGGGAGCAAACAGGAUUAAUACCCUGGGUAGUCCACGCCGUAAACGAUGUCGAUUUGGAGGUUGUGCCUUGAGGCGUGGCUUCCGGAGCUAACGCGUUAAAUCGACCGCCUGGGGAGUACGGCCGCAAGGUUAAAACUCAAAUGAAUUGACGGGGCCCGCACAAACCGGUGGGAGCAUGUUGUUUAAUUUCUAUGCAACGCGAAGAACC
rnacentral:rRNA from 1 species